AGAGUUUGAUCAUGGCUCAGGACGAACGCUGGCGGCGUGCUUAACACAUGCAAGUCGAACGAUGAACUGGAGCUUGCUCCAGGGAUUAGUGGCGAACGGGUGAGUAACACGUGAGUAACCUGCCCUUGACUCUGGGAUAAGCGCUAGAAAUGGCGUCUAAUACCGGAUACGAGCUUCAGCCGCAUGGCUAGGAGUUGGAAAGAAUUUUGGUCAAGGAUGGACUCGCGGCCUAUCAGCUAGUUGGUGAGGUAAUGGCUCACCAAGGCGACGACGGGUAGCCGGCCUGAGAGGGUGACCGGCCACACUGGGACUGAGACACGGCCCAGACUCCUACGGGAGGCAGCAGUGGGGAAUAUUGCACAAUGGGCGAAAGCCUGAUGCAGCAACGCCGCGUGAGGGAUGACGGCCUUCGGGUUGUAAACCUCUUUUAGUAGGGAAGAAGCGAAAGUGACGGUACCUGCAGAAAAAGCACCGGCUAACUACGUGCCAGCAGCCGCGGUAAUAC
rnacentral:rRNA from 1 species